rnacentral:lncRNA from 1 species
UGAGAGGCCCAUGAGCUAUUCCGGAGAUUACACCCUAUCCUGCAGCUGGUUCCAGGCUCCAAGAAUGGACUGGCAGGAAUGGACCUCCCUCCCUGUCCCUUUAUAAGCACUUUUGCUAUUAAACAUUUGAGCUUUGAUCAGGAACCUUGACUUAGCUCCAUUUUUCUCAACCGCCCAGUUCCCCUCUCUUUUCUUCCCUGGCUUGCCUCCCAGGUGAAACCCGGUCCAAGUGAGCCGUGGGUUGGCUUCCAACAGUCUGAUGUCUGAACAGGGACCUGAGGAAUGGCAGAAAAAUGCUGGAGGAACGCUGCUUGGUAUGGAGCUCCACAGGAAGAAAAAGAAAAGGAUCAUACCGGCACCGAAGCAACAGGUGCAUCAGGAUCAAGCUGAGGGUCGCCAGGUGUUUCAUCUUCUUCCACUUUGCUUUCUCUCCAUGGCCUCGUCCAUCAUUCUGGAACUCAGACUGGGUUCUCCUGAUCCUGUGGAAACACACAGACAUCUCCUCGGGACCAUGCCAACACCUGAUCUGGACCUUUCCAUUGUCCCGUGAGGACAUCCAUCCAUAGCACAGACACGGCCGCACCCUGCUGAGGGGUACAAUGCCAUUCUGCAGAUGAUUUUCCAUUCUUAUCCAAAUUUUAAAAAUUAGGAAUAAAGAGGCUUAUAUUUAA